GAUGAACGCUGGCGGCGUGCCUAAUACAUGCAAGUCGAGCGAACAGACGAGGAGCUUGCUCCUCUGACGUUAGCGGCGGACGGGUGAGUAACACGUGGAUAACCUACCUAUAAGACUGGGAUAACUUCGGGAAACCGGAGCUAAUACCGGAUAAUAUAUUGAACCGCAUGGUUCAAUAGUGAAAGACGGUUUUGCUGUCACUUAUAGAUGGAUCCGCGCCGCAUUAGCUAGUUGGUAAGGAAACGGCUUACCAAGGCAACGAUGCGUAGCCGACCUGAGAGGGUGAUCGGCCACACUGGAACUGAGACACGGUCCAGACUCCUACGGGAGGCAGCAGUAGGGAAUCUUCCGCAAUGGGCGAAAGCCUGACGGAGCAACGCCGCGUGAGUGAUGAAGGUCUUCGGAUCGUAAAACUCUGUUAUUAGGGAAGAACAAAUGUGUAAGUAACUAUGCACGUCUUGACGGUACCUAACCAGAAAGCCACGGCUAACUACGUG
rnacentral:rRNA from 1 species